CCUACGGGUGGCAGCAGUGGGGAAUAUUGGACAAUGGGCGAAAGCCUGAUCCAGCCAUGCCGCGUGUGUGAAGAAGGCCUUCGGGUUGUAAAGCACUUUCAGUGGGGAAGAAAGCCUUGGGGCUAAUACCCUCGAGGAAGGACAUCACCCACAGAAGAAGCACCGGCUAACUCCGUGCCAGUAGCCGCGGUAAUACGGAGGGUGCGAGCGUUAAUCGGAAUUACUGGGCGUAAAGCGCGCGUAGGCGGUCUGAUAAGCCGGUUGUGAAAGCCCCGGGCUCAACCUGGGAACGGCAUCCGGAACUGUCAGGCUAGAGUGCAGGAGAGGAAGGUAGAAUUCCCGGUGUAGCGGUGAAAUGCGUUGAGAUCGGGAGGAAUACCAGUGGCGAAGGCGGCCUUCUGGACUGACACUGACGCUGAGGUGCGAAAGCGUGGGUAGCAAACAGGAUUAGAUACCCCAGUAGUC
rnacentral:rRNA from 1 species